GCACUACUGAGGAGUCCCAUACUAGGACGAAACGGCCGUCCAAUAC
rfam:Schistosoma mattheei strain Denwood, Zambia genome assembly, scaffold: SMTD_scaffold0005030